CACGUAGGGUGCGAGCGUUGUCCGGAAUUACUGGGCGUAAAGGGCUCGUAGGCGGCCAACUAAGUCAGACGUGAAAUCCCUCGGCUUAACCGGGGAACUGCGUCUGAUACUGGAUGGCUUGAAUCCGGGAGAGGGAUGCGGAAUUCCAGGUGUAGCGGUGAAAUGCGUAGAUAUCUGGAGGAACACCGGUGGCGAAGGCGGCAUCCUGGACCGGCAUUGACGCUGAGGAGCGAAAGCCAGGGGAGCAAACGGG
rnacentral:rRNA from 1 species